GACAAUGAAAGAGAGUUUCUUGUGUCUAACCAGAAAAAUGGACCAAAGGGUAAGUUGAAAGGACUCUUUCACCGGCCACCUAAAGCCAACAAUCCCAAAAACAAUUGCUUUGGCUCCCCAAGAAACAAAAGUUUAUUACCCUGCAUGCAUAAAAUGGCUUCUUCUCCUUCGGAGCAGCUGGGUCCCUCUUUAUAUCUGUCUUCUCUCAAACCUGUUUUUCUCUUUGAGGGAGAACUGCAAGGAAGGGAUUUUCUUUUGGUGGGGUUGGGGGAGGGGGGCUGGAAGGAAAAAAAAUCAGAAAAUGGCUCAAGAGGACAAGCAACUCUCAGCUUUCUCAACCACUCAUUUCUCUAUUUGGGGAUUGAUGAGACCAAAUUACCCUUGCCUGGCAGCGUUGCCCUUCCUUUCAUCCCCAUGUAAUUCCAAAGGUCAUAAUUGGGAAAACUGGGAUUAAGCUUGAAGAGUGCAAAUGUAAACUCUUUUCUCUCUCUUUCUUUGUCUAUCCCAUUACAACAAUAACAUUCCUUCAUAGAAUACGAAAAGAAGGCAGACAGGAUGGAGCCAGGCAAUUCAAGUAGUUAUGGUUUUCUGUGCUUUGUUUUAGAUCAUUCUCAUCAUACUAUAUACUCCUUUUGGUUAAAUUUUUGUUAAGUACUACUUUCCAAGAAAAAGGAAGAGCAACAACAGGUCUUCUGGAGCACAUAUUUAUACAAUUAUAUAUGAAGAAAUCAUCUGCUUAUCUAUGUAUCUGAUCUGCAUGAAAAUCUGGCUUUUUUCAUGUUAUUAUGAAGAUAAUGAUGAUGGUGAUGUUGCAUUUCCUUCCCCUUUUUUCAAUAGCUUGUAUUUAUUUUCAUGCAUAUAAAUAUCGCAGAUCCUUUUUUAUAUCUUUGCUAUUUGCUUUUCUUUUCCUUUCCUGGUUAUAUUAAUUGAGAAAGUUAUAUAUUUUGAUCUCCAG
rnacentral:lncRNA from 1 species